AGGAAGGGUCUUUUCUAGAGAUUCUUCCUUUGGAGUUUUCCAGUGAGCCCAGAACAAGGGAACCAUCAAGACCUGAUCCAAAGUCUUUUGAAAUCAAUGGGGAAAAAAAAUAAAACUAAUUGACUUUAGGACCUUAAUCAUUGCCAUUUGGAUCAAAACAACCAGCUGUUAGUCCCUAGCAGCAGAGAGAAUUGGAGUAAAUUGAUUGCAUGUGGUACUGGAUGCAGAACUCAGCAUAGACUCCAGGAAGAAUUCUGUUGCU